rnacentral:rRNA from 1 species
AGAGUUUGAUCAUGGCUCAGAUUGAACGCUGGCGGCAUGCCUUACACAUGCAAGUCGAACGGCAGCACAGAGCUUGCUCUGGUGGCGAGUGGCGAACGGGUGAGUAAUAUAUCGGAACGUACCCAAGAGUGGGGGAUAACGUAGCGAAAGUUACGCUAAUACCGCAUACGAUCUAAGGACGAAAGCAGGGGACCUUCGGGCCUUGUGCUCCUGGAGCGGCCGAUAUCUGAUUAGCUAGUUGGUGGGGUAAAGGCCCACCAGGGCAACGAUCAGCGGCUGGUCUGAGAGGACGACCAGCCACACUGGAACUGAGACACGGUCCAGACUCCUACGGGAGGCAGCAGUGGGGAGUUUUGGACAAUGGGGGCAACCCUGAUCCAGCAAUGCCGCGUGAGUGAAGAAGGCCUUCGGGUUGUAAAGCUCUUUUGUCAGGGAAGAAAAGGGAUUGGCUAAUAUCCAGUCCUCAUGACGGUACCUGAAGAAUAAGCACCGGCUAACUACGUGCCAGCAGCCGCGGUAAUACGUAGGGUGCAAGCGUUAAUCGGAAUUACUGGGCGUAAAGCGUGCGCAGGCGGUUUUGUAAGACUGUCGUGAAAUCCCCGGGCUCAACCUGGGAAUGGCGAUGGUGACUGCAAGGCUAGAGUUUGGCAGAGGGGGGUAGAAUUCCACGUGUAGCAGUGAAAUGCGUAGAUAUGUGGAGGAACACCGAUGGCGAAGGCAGCCCCCUGGGUCAAAACUGACGCUCAUGCACGAAAGCGUGGGGAGCAAACAGGAUUAGAUACCCUGGUAGUCCACGCCCUAAACGAUGUCUACUAGUUGUCGGGUCUUAAUUGACUUGGUAACGCAGCUAACGCGUGAAGUAGACCGCCUGGGGAGUACGGUCGCAAGAUUAAAACUUAAAGGAAUUGACGG